AAAACAUUAGUAAAAUGUAGAUUACACCACCUUGUCAAGGUGAAAUUGCGGGUUAAAUCCCCGCAUGUUUUA
rnacentral:tRNA from 1 species